rnacentral:rRNA from 1 species
GACGAACGCUGGCGGCGUGCUUAACACAUGCAAGUCGAACGGAAAGGCCCUGCUUUUGUGGGGUGCUCGAGUGGCGAACGGGUGAGUAACACGUGAGUAACCUGCCCUUGACUUUGGGAUAACUUCAGGAAACUGGGGCUAAUAUCGGAUAGGAGCUCCUGCUGCAUGAUGGGGGUUGGAAAGUUUCGGCGGUUGGGGAUGGACUCGCGGCUUAUCAGCUUGUUGGUGGGGUAGUGGCUUACCAAGGCUUAGACGGGUAGCCGGCCUGAGAGGGUGACCGGCCACAUUGGGACUGAGAUACGGCCCAGACUCCUACGGGAGGCAGCAGUGGGGAAUAUUGCACAAUGGGCGGAAGCCUGAGGCAGCAACGCCGCGUGCGGGAUGACGGCCUUCGGGUUGUAAACCGCUUUCGCCUGUGACGAAGCGUGAGUGACGGUAAUGGGUAAAGAAGCACCGGCUAACUACGUG